AAAGAAGAAAAUAUUGCCACGUCUGACAGGUGCUUUACAUUCCUACUCUUUUCAGUUAAAAAGAAAUGCCGAAAGUGUGGGGUGUUGUAUAUUGUGUGAAAGUUUCGGUCUUCGUAAAUAAAAAGUAUAAAUAACAUCUCAGAUGAUAAAGUUUGAAGAAACUGUGCAAGCUCCUUAUUAAAGUGGUAUACAUAAAUUUUAGCAAUACUUUUGCCUUUUUUAAUUUAGUAUUUCUAUUGGCCGGUUUUGGAUUGUAGCUACAUACAUACAUAUAUUUUGUUUAAGGACAACAAUAAGUUUACAUUCAUAAACACUAAACAUAUCAAAAUAACUUACGAGUGGCCAUAAUGUUAAAAUUUAUGCGUGGUAAAGGUCAGCAACCAACAGCAGAAAGGCAGCGGCUGCAAAAAGAGCUAUUUUCUUAUAGGAAGAUUUUCCUUUAUAUGCUCGGCCAUGGUCACUGCAUCGUUUAAUAACCUUGUCACAUCGAUAGCAUCAGUUUUGAUAGAUAUAUGUACAUUAGACUGCAUCACUCCCCAUACAAAAAAAAUCGGUACUAUGUUUCCAUUGGAAUCAUAAAAUCUGUUAUAUUUUAUGACAUCCACCGAAAUAUUUCGGAAAAAUAUUAAGAUUUGCGUGAGCUGGACUGAUUUGAAAAUAUCUUCAAAAAUUGA